rnacentral:rRNA from 1 species
GACGAACCGUGCGAACGUUGUUCGGAAUCACUGGGCUUAAAGGGCGCGUAGGCGGGCUGUCAAGUCUGGGGUGAAAUGCCGCGGCUCAACCGUGGAACUGCCUCAGAUACUGACGGCCUCGAGGAAGGUAGGGGCAUGCGGAACUGUAGGUGGAGCGGUGAAAUGCGUUGAUAUCUACAGGAACUCCGGUGGCGAAAGCGGCGUGCUGGACCUUUUCUGACGCUGAGGCGCGAAGGCGCGGGGAGCGAACGGG